AUGGCUCAGUACGGCAACACCUCUUCGUUAUGGCCGAUGCUUAACAUGUCCACCACUAUGUUGACCUCAGAUCGUCCGGCUGUGGAGGCCUCGUGGAUGAUGCUGGAGCGCUUCGUGUUCCGCAGGGAUGACGACGACGACGGCAGCGGCUCCUCCGCCUUCCCGGACGAAGCGGCCGCGCCGUUGAGGGCCAACUCCGUCACCUCCCUGGGAGACCCCUUCGCCGUCGCCUUGCUCCCCGCCGCCCCUCCCGCCUUCUCCCACCUCUACAUGCAGUGGCCGCGCGGUCCACGCAACUAUGACGGGUCGGACAUGGGGACCGAACUCCUGUCCGCCCACCGGGACCUCCUCCUGCUCAGCCUCACCUCCGAGCUGGGCCUCGACGACGGUGACCCUUACCGGCAGGACUACUUCGUUUUCCAUGCCGCCCUAGGGGCUGCUGAGUCGCGGCUCAGACGGCUCCCGGCGUGCACCGUACCCAUUGUGCUGAAACUGUGGGGCGAGGAUACAACAACGGAUCGCCAGUUCAAUCGUGACACCAUCGGAAUAUAUUGCGGUAGAGAUCACUUCGCGGUGCUGCAGCUGGCCAAGUUCUGUGUUUCAACAAAGAACAGUGUUAUGGGAGCAGAACUAUGCGUCUUCCGCUCCCCUCUGUCGACCGAUGGCUCCGAUGAUAAUGUUGCCGAGGGCAAGUGGGAGAUUCUGAUGCUGCCCAUCCAACAUACAAAGGAGGAGUUCACCGACCUGACCCGCUGGUCAACCGAUGCCACCAUCAUAUCCAAUGACUGUGUGAUCUGGGUUGAUUACCACCAAGGAGGUAUCCUGUCCUACAAGCCAUGUCAUGAUGCAGUAGACACGAGACCACGUAGAAUCAUCUAUUACAGCCGACUACCUAUCAACAAUUGUCCUCGGGAUUCCUCACCAAGCGGAGAGACACAUGAGAUGUGCCGCAGUCUAUGCGUCGUCGUGGGGAAAGAGGGUGAUCUCCUCAAGUUUGUCGACGUUUCCUGUGACAAUGGUACCUUUUUUGGGCCGCUUGAUCCUUAUUCUAGUUUCACCAUCACCUUCCAUGCCCGUGCAUCGUCAGAAGAUAAAUUUUGGCACAAGGAGGCAGUGAUUACGUCUCAAACAUUUCGGCGCCUAGCCGCCCGGAAGCGUCUUCUACCGCACAAUUGUGUGCCCAUGUUCCCCCUUGUGAAUAGGGACGAACCCGAUCUCAUACACUUCAUUGUGUGUGAGCCGAGGGACAACAUUGACAAGCUUUCGGUGGUUGUUGUUGAUAUCAUCAAAGAGGCGAUAGUUUCGGUUUCUCCAUAUAUUCAAGGAGAGGAAGACCUCUGUGGCAAAGAUGCAGACACGGUCAGGCACAGGUGCCGUCUUCUGCAGUCCUUUCUCCCU
rnacentral:rRNA from 1 species